AAAAAUAUAAAAGAAAAUAAUAAUAGAAUUUAUUCCAUUUUUUUAGUUUCUUUUUAUACAACCAGAGCCUGUCCAUGCCAAUACUUAGCUGGGCUCUUUUUGUUACCACGAAUCUUUGAAAACAAAGAUUUAGUUGAAUGUAUUUCAUUUGAAAAAAAAAAAAAAAUACUUGUUAUUUAAACAUGAUCAAACAUAAAUAAAAAAAGACUUUUAGAUUCCUAAGAUCAAAAUGUCAUUUUUUUAUUACUCCUUCGUUUUUCUAGUAAAGUAUCUAAAAAAAGAAACUGUGGAUUCUUACACAAUCUAUUUUUUGUUAUGGAUUAAGUAGUUUUGUCGAGAUGUAGAUGUAUCUGUAUCUGUCAAAACAAAACAUCUUCAGCUUCUGCAAAAA
rnacentral:lncRNA from 1 species